rnacentral:lncRNA from 1 species
AUGUACACAAACAUAAAUAUCGCAAUGUACACAUUUACAUGGGACCUCUGGCCCACCCAGGCUCCCGUCUCUGGGUCGGGGGCCCUACGAGGGGCUGGCACGAGAAGGCGGGAACCUGGAGGAGGGCGAGGUCCUGCUCCCCUCCUCUCACAGCACCCCCAAAGCGUCCUGUCCCUUUGCAGCAGUGCUGGCCGGGCAGGGGCCAAACACCUGCGGUGGCUGGAGUCCCAGGCGUCUCCUCUGACCUUCCCAUCUGGCUCUCCUCCCAGACUCUUCCCGGGUCCUUGGGUCUCAGCCUCUGUGUCUCUUGUCUCCCCCAGGGCCUGGAGGGAGGUGGGUGCCCAUGCCCCGGCGCCAGUCCUGGCCCCUCCGGCCUCCUCCUGGGACUCACAGGAGGCUGGGGCUGCGGUGCAGCUCGGCGGAGGUGCUGGUGCCAUUGGCCGGCUCUCUGCUGGGGGCAGGGGUCACGCCGCAGCCCUCCCCGGGGCAGCCGUGCUGGAUGAGGAUGUCGGCACACUCCUGGCUGCCGGCACGGCGAGCGUAGGCCAGCGGGGUCAGGCCGCGGGCAUCCCGGCUCCGCACGUCCACCCCGUACUGCAGAAGGAAGCACGUUCUCACGGUUGGCAGGAAAGGUGUGGGUUCCCCCCCGGGUGGGGGGCGGUGGGGAGGAUGGAUGUCAGGGAGAUCAGGAAGGGCCCCCCAACUCACCCAGAUAAGCAGCUGCGUGAAGACCACAUUGGCCAUGGCGCUGGACAGGUGCAGGGCCGUCCGCCCGUCCCCGUCACCGUAGGUCUCGUUCACCUCCUCCUUGGACCCGUGCGCCAGGAGUGUCACCAGCAGCACGUCCGAGCUGNNGGCGUCGGGCCCCGGUUUAGCAUAGCCAUCCAGGGCCCCCUCCCAGACGCUGUUGGCCAGGGCGUUGCCCAUGGCGGUCAUGACGGCCAGCAGCUCGGGUGGCCAGUCGUCGAGGUCGAGUGAGCGGACCCGGGAAAGGUGAGCUCCCAAAUGCCGGUGCGUCCCGGAGCACUCGAUGCACAUGAGCGCGCCCAGGUUCAGGCUGGCCCAGUCUGGAUCUAGGCGAGGAGAGGAGAUGAUGGAGCCCCUCCACCCUCGAGCUCCCCGCACCCGGAGCGCCCAGCCUGGUCCCACCGCCCC